rnacentral:tRNA from 1 species
GGUAGGAUGGCUGAAUUGUUAGGCGGUAGAUUGUAAAUCUAUUUAUGAGAGUUAUUCUCUUCUAUCA